rnacentral:rRNA from 1 species
UACAGAGGGUGCGAGCGUUGUCCGGAAUCACUGGGCGUAAAGGGCGCGUAGGCGGCUUGAUAAGCGUGCGGUGAAAGCCCGGGCUCAACCCCGGGUCGGCCGUGCGAACUGUCGAGCUGGAGCACUGUAGAGGCAGGUGGAAUUCCGGGUGUAGCGGUGGAAUGCGUAGAGAUCCGGAAGAACACCGGUGGCGAAGGCGGCCUGCUGGGCAGUGGCUGACGCUGAGGCGCGACAGCGUGGGGAGCAAACAGGAUUGAGAA